GCUAGUUAGCAGGCUGAGGUCUCUUUCGUUAACGGAAUUAACCAGAAAAAUUGCUCCACCAACUAAGAACGGCCAUGCACCACCACCCAUAGAAUCAAGAAAGAGCUCUCAGUCCGUCAAUCCUUACUAUGUCUGGACCUGGUAAGUUUUCCCGUGUUGAGUCAAAUUAAGCCGCAGGCUCCACUCCUGGUGAUGCCCUUCCGUCAAUUCCUUUUAGUUUCAGCCUUGCGACCAUACUCCCCCCAGAACCCAAAUGCUUUUAUUUCUCAUAAGGUGCUGGCGGAGUCUUAAAAGCAACAUUCGCCGAUCCCUGGUCGGCAUCGUUUAUGGUUGAGACUAGGACGGUAUCUGAUCGUCUUCGAGCCCCCAAAUUUCGUUCUUGAUUAAUGAAAACAUCCUUGGAAAAUGCUUUCGCAGUUGUUCUUCUUUCAUAAUUCCAUGAAUUUAACCUCUGACUAUGAAAUAUGAAUGCCCCCGUCUGUCCAUGUUAAUCAUUACUCCGAUUCCGAAGGCCAACGUAAUAGUACCGAAAUCCUAUAAUGUUAUCCCAUGCUAAUGUAUACAGAGCGUAGGCUUCCUUUGAGCACUCUAAUUUCUUCAAAGUAACAACGCUGGAGGCACGACCCGGCCAAUUAAGGCCAGGAGCACAUUACCGGAAGAAGGGACGAGACGACCGGUGCACACUAGAGGCGGACCGGCCGACCCAUCCCUAAGUCCAACUACGAGCUUUUUAACUGGAACAACUUAAAUGUACGCUAUUGGAGCUGGAAUUACCGCGGCUGCUGGCACCAGACUUGCCCUCCAAUGGAUCCUCGUUAAGGGAUAUAGAUUGUACUUAUUCCAAUUACCAGACUCAUAAAGCCCGGUAUUGUCACUACCUCCCCGUGUCAGGAUUGGUUAAUUUGCGGGCCUACUGCCUUCCUUGGAUGCGGUAGCCAUUUCUCAGGCUCCCUCUCCGAAAUCGAACCCUAAUUCUCCAUCACCCGUCACCACCAUGGUAGGUGUUAUGACCCCAAUAUUGACAUGAUGGAUGUCAGGCAUAAUUCAUGUUGAGGGCUUGUGCAUUGCCCCUUGACAUGGCUUCGUUGAAGCGUUGACAAUUUACAAGGCUGGGUGUGUGUUUAAGUUGGUGAUGGGCUUAGGCAAGGCAACUAGACAAGGCAGCUGGAGUGUUGGCAAUGCGGCCUUGGUUUGUGGGCAUCGACUAUGGCAAAUGGAAGCAUGGCACUUGACAAAGGCAUGCACGGAUCUGUGGGACGACUUAAUUUAUAGAAAGGCGUGGCUAUGAAAUUUAGGGCGAGGCAAGGUCCAAGGCAAAGCCGGGCAAAGGUAUGCGCGGAUAAGUGGGACGACUUGAUUCAUAGCAGGGCGUGGCUAUGAAAUUAAGAGCGAGGCAAGGUCCAAGGUAAAGCGGGGCAAAGGCAUGCGCGGAUUGGUGGGACGACUUAAUUCAUAGCAGGGCGUGGCAAUGGAAUUAAGGUCGAGGCAAGGUCCAAGGCAAAGCUGGGCUAGAGACAAGGUAAACGUGGGCAAGGCUAGAGGCCAUCGUGCAUGGCAUGUGAUGGAGUGGUUGGAAGGACAUGUGCUUGAAGUUGAAGACAUGAUCUAAGAACAUGGGCGGUUGGCUACAAAGUGGAAGAAAUGGUAGCUACUGCCCUAAACCACCUAAGGCAUGUGCAUGGCACAUGGUAGAAACUGCCCCUUUGUAACUGUCCCUUUGUAACUUCCUUUGGAAGCCCGUUUAUAUAGAUUGCAUCUCCGUCUGUGGAGAAGGCAGGUAGCAUUACAUAUGUGAGCCAAGUCUAAAUAGUGUGUCCUUUAUAUAUUAUGCGAGAAUUAAUAAAGGUUGUGGUUUACCCGAAAAUUCUGUGUGUGUUCUUAGUUUAGCUAAAGUCUGAAAAUCCUAAGUCAGACUCUGUGUGUGUGUGCGAAAAGUUAAGGUUGAAGUGGUUGUGAGCUGCUGCCGUGCAGUGUCUAUUUUUGCGAAAAAUUGACCCUGUAACAAUUGGUAUCAGAGCUUUUUGGUUGUAACUCUUGAUCAUGGCAGGUGGGUCUACUUCAGACUUACGUGAUAGAGUGCAACGGUUGGAGGUGCUAAUCGGCGAGACCGAUGAUCCUUUGGAUAUGGAAGAUCUUAUUACAGAGAUUUACCGUCUAAAGGAUGGGGCAGAUCAAUUUUGCGAUGGGAUCCAACAAAGUUGUUAAUCAACGGAUUGCGUAGUUGAAGACCUGAAGUAGGAGGUCGACAACUUGAUGGCCAAAAUCACUGUUCUUCGACGGGCGUCGGCUGCUCCAAGCCAAGGCAAUGAAGAACGCUUGAAGGUAAAGAUUUCGGACCCAAAGGCGUUUGAUGGAAUGCGUAGUGCAUAAGAAUUGGAGAACUUUCUAUGGGACAUGGAACAAUAUUUUGUUGCUGCCAAAGUUCCAAAUGAGGAGAAGGUCACAAUUACAAGCAUGUACCUAAUGGGAGAUACUAAAUUGUUGUGGAGACCUCGUAUGGUGGACGAUGAAAGUGCCGGCAGACCGAAAAUUGAUACAUGGGAGAAGCUCAGAAAAGAAAUGAAGGACCAAUUCUUGCCUAGCAAUGAUUCUUGGCUUGCUAGAGACCAUUUGAAACGCUUGCGACAAACGAGAUCUAUUCGGGAUUAAUUUAAGGAAUUCUCUUCCUUAAUGUUUGAUGUUCAAAACAUGUCGGAGGACAACAAAUUGCAUAACUUUAUUUCAGGAAUGCAAGCAUGGGCGCAGAAUGAACUUAGGAGACAAACUGCAAAGGAUCUCCCAAGUGCAAUGGCUGCAGCGAAUUCUUUGGUGGACUAUCGCAGCACCCGUACUCUUUCGGAUAUUCCUCCUACUUCAAAAUCUAACAAACGGGUGGAGAAGAAAGGGGAAUGGAGGAAGGAAGUUCGAGAGGAAGUCAUUGAGAAGGGCAAGGUUGUCGAUGGGGCUGUUCAAAACAAAGGCAUCGCAAACAGGAAAACUGAUGGUUGCUGGACGUGCGGAGGACCUCAUCUUGCCAAAGACUGUCCAAAUCGUGAGCGGGUAAAUGCUUUUCUUGCUACAGAAAAUAAUUGUCGCAAACAAGAAAACUGAUGGCUGCUGAACGUGUGGAGGACCUCAUCUUGCCAGACACUGUCCAAAUCGUGAGCGGGUAAAUGCUUUGCUUGCUACAGAAAUUAGUUGGGAUGGAGAAGGUGAAGAAAUUGUUGCUGCCUUGGUUAAUCCUUUACAAUUGUUGAAUGUUAUCUCGUUGCUAAAUACUACAAGUAACGAGACGAACCCUUAUUCUUUGCUGAUGCACAUCGAGAUGAGAAUUGGGGACAGAAGUGUGAUAGCUAUGGUAGAUACUGGCGCUACUCACACCCUUAUUUCUGCCAGUUUGGUGCAUAAGUAUCGAUUGAGAGUGUCGAAAUAAUAGCAAUGGUAGAUACUGGCGCUACUCACACCCUUAUUUCUUCCAGUUUGGUGCAUAAGUAUCGAUUGAGAGUGUCGAAAUGUCACUCUUACAUAAUGACUGGGAACACCAAAGCACAAGCCCUUGUGGGUAUAGCUUAUGAUGUUCCUAUGUCUGUUGGGAACUGGAAAGGGAAGGUCAAUUUGAUGGUGAAUCCAAUGGAAGAGUUUGAGGUGAUCCUCGGAAUUGACUUCAUGCGGAAACAUCACUUUGUUCCAAUGCCUCACUUGAACGGAGUGAUGAUCAUGAAUGAUAUGGCUCCUAGUUUCGUGAAAGCUGUUUAUCCUUAUGGAGGAGAAGAAAUUCAAAGUAAGGCUUUGUUAAAUUCUGCCAUGAUGGUUGGAAAUGGUUUGAGGAAGGGAGGUGAGACUUUUCUUGCUGCCGGGGUUGAAGUGAAGCCUGAUGUUAAAGUUGAAGUGCCGGACUGCGAUGCUCAAAGUUUGAGUGACUUUGUUGAUGUGAUACCACUAGAUUUGCCUAAAAAUCUGCCACCACAAAGGACUAUUGAUCACAAGAUAGAGUUGAUGUCGGGUUCGAUGCUUCCUACUCAACCUCAUAGGGGGUUGAACAAGGUGAAGGUGGAAAAAAACUAUCCUGUUCCGUUGGUGCAAGAGUUGAUGGACAGAUUGAGUAAGACAUGCUGGUUCAUGAAGCUUGAUAUACGGUCGGGUUAUUGGCAGGUACGGAUAGCGGAAGGUGAUGAGUCUAAAACUACUUCUGUUACGAGGUAUGGCUCAUAUGAAUUCCUUGUUAUGCCGUUCAGUUGGAUAGAUGCCCCUGCUACAUUUUGCAACCUCAUGAAUGACGGCCUGUAUGAGUACAUAGAUGAAUUUGUCGUUGUCUAAUUAGACGACAUUAUUGUCUAUAGUCUAAAUUUGGAUGAACAUAUGUCACACUUGAUAAAACUGCUGUUUCGGUUGAGGGAGUACAAGCUGUAUGAGAAUCUAAUUAGACGACAUUGUUGUCUAUAGUCGAAAUUUGGAUGAAUAUAUGUCACACUUGAUAAAAGUGCUGUCUUGGUUGAGGGAGUACAAGCUGUAUGAGAAGUGUGAAUUUUCUAGACAGGAGAUAAAAUUUCAUGGGCACUUGGUGAGCCAAAAUCACGUGGGGAUGGACCCGAAGAAGGUGCAGGUCAUUGCGGAAUGGCAGGUACCGAAAGUUGUCAAAGAAUUGAGAUCUUUCCUUGGGUUGGAUAAUUAUUAUCAGAAAUUCAUUGCUGGUUACUCAAAGAAAUCUGUUCCUUUGAUGGAUGUGUUGAAGAAGAACGUCAAAGGGAAUUGGUCGGAAAAAUUCUGGGCUGCAUUUGGUGUGUUGAAAGAAUCCAUUGCCUCAGAACCAAUCGUGCGGCUUGUUGAGUUUGAGUUACUAUUUGAAGUGCAUACAGAUACGUCUGACAAGGCUGUUAGAGGCGUGCUAGUUCAAGAAGGUCAUCCUGUGGCCUUUGAAAUAAGAAAGUUGAAUGAAGCAGAACAAAGGUAUUCGUCUCAUGAGGAGGAAGUCUUUGUUGCUAGUUUUUCCCUUAUGGGACUUGAGUCAGAUUUUGUUGAUAAAUUCAAGUCAGAUGCUAUAAAUGAUCCAUUGUACAUAAACACAAUGAAUCAUACGAAGGAAGGUACUGUGCGACGGUACUGGAUCAAGGGCAACGAGGUCUUACUGGAUAGAACCUUGGUUGCGAGAUAUGGUGGUCCGUUCGAAGAGCAAAUUGAGGGCUACUUGAGAUUAACCUCGACGAGGGCGUCGAGUUCAAUUGGUGGGGGUGGUUUGUUACGACCCCUAAUAUUGACAUGACGGAUGUCGGGCAGAAUUCAUGUUGAGGGAUUGUGCAUUGCCCCUUGACAUGGCUUCGUUGAAGCGCUGGGCAGAAUUCAUGUUGAGGGCUUGUGCAUUGCCCUUGACAUGGCUUCAUUAAAGCAUUGACAAGCAAUGUACAAGGCUGGAGUGUUGGCAAGGCGGCCUUGGUUCGUGGGCAUUGGCUAUGGCAAAUGGAAGCAUGGCACUUGACAAAAGCAUGCGCGGAUCUGUGGGACGACUUAAUUUAUAGCAAGGCGUGGCUAUGAAAUUGAUGGCGAGGCAAGGUCCAAGGCAAAGCCGGACAAAGGUAUGCGUGGAUUAGUGGGACGACUUGAUUAAUAGCAGGGCGUGGCUAUGAAAUUAAGGGCGAAGCAAGGUCCAAGGCAAAGUGGGGCAAAGGCAUGCGCGGAUCGGUGGGACGACUUAAUUCAUAGCAGGGCGUGGCUAUGGAAUUAAGGGUGAGGCAAGGUCCAAGGCAAAGCUGGGCUAGAGACAAGGAAAACGUGGGCAAUGCUAGAGGCCAUCCUGCAUGACAUGUGAUGGAGAGGUGGGAAUUACAUGUGCUGAAAAUUGAAGGCAUGAUCUAAGAAAAUGGGCGGUUGGCUACAAAGUGGAAGACAUGGUAGUAACUGUUCGAAACCACCUAAGGCAUGUGCAUGGCACAUGGUGGAAACUGCCCCUCUAUAACUGUACCUUUGUAGCUGCCUUAGGCAGCCCCUUCAUAUAGAUUGCAUCUCCGUCUGUGGAGAAGGCAAGUAGCAUUACAUAUGUGAGCCAAGUCUAAAAAGUGCGUCCUUUAUAUAUUAUGCGAGAAUUAAUAAAGGUUGUGUUUUACCCGUAAAUUCUGUGUGUGUUCUUAGUUUGGCUAAAGUCCGAAAAUCCUAAGUCAGGCUGUGUGUGUGUGUGUGCGAAAAGUGAAGGCUGAAGUGGCUGUGAGCUGCUGCCGUGCAGUUGACUGUGUGUGUAGGAAAAGUGAAGGCUGAAGUGGCUGUGAGCUGCAGCCAUUCAGUGUUUAUUUUUGCGAAAAAUUGACGCUGUAGCAGUAGGCCACUAUCCUACCAUCGAAAGUUGAUAGGGCAGAAAUUUGAAUGAUGCGUCGCCGGCACGAUGGCCGUGCGAUCCGCCGAGUUAUCAUGAAUCAUCGCAGCAACGGGCAGAGCCCGCGUCGACCUUUUAUCUAAUAAAUGCAUCCCUUCCAGAAUU
rnacentral:lncRNA from 1 species